rnacentral:rRNA from 1 species
GAUGAACGCUGGCGGCGUGCCUAAUACAUGCAAGUCGAGCGAACAGAUGAGGAGCUUGCUCCUCUGACGUUAGCGGCGGACGGGUGGGUAACACGUGGAUAACCUACCUAUAAGACUGGGAUAACUUCGGGAAACCGGAGCUAAUACCGGAUAAUAUAUUGAACCGCAUGGUUCAAUAGUGAAAGACGGUUUUUGUGUCACUAAUAGCUGGAUACGGGCCGCAUUAGCUAGUUGGUAAGGUAACGGCUUACCAAGGCAACGAUGCGUAGCCGAGCGGAGAGGGUGAUCGGCGACACGGGAACGGAGACACGGUCCAGACGCCUACGAGAGGCAGCAGUAGGGAAUCUUCCGCAAUGGGCGAAAGCCUGACGGAGCAACGCCGCGUGAGUGAUGAAGGUCUCCGGAGCGUAAAACUCUGUUAUUAGGGAAGAACAAAUGUGUAAGUAAAUAUGCACGUAUUGACGGUACCUAAUCAGAAAGCCACGGCUAACUACGUG